GAAAUAUGUAUUUCAAAUAAAAGCUGCUAACUUUUUAUUUUAAUGAAUAAAUCCAUUUAUAUUUCU
rnacentral:tRNA from 1 species